GAUAGAUUCUGCCUGCCGUAUCAUUUGCAUUUUGCAAACGUUAAUUUAUUAAUAAAAUGUGUUUGUGCAUUGAAAACUGAUAAAAAUAUUAUUAUCAAUACGAAAAAUUUACACCUGUUAAUUAGAGAUAAGGGGAAGAAGACAUAUUAGUUAUGAUAUUGGCUGAAACUUUGUUGUUCUCUCUAUCUCUGAUCGGUUGCGGUGCAAUUUUAUUUCUGUUAGUUUACUAUAUAAUAACGCUGUCUGACUUGGAAUGUGAUUAUUUGAAUGCUCAGGAGUGUUGUGAGAAAUUAAACUACUGGCUAUUGCCUAAAUAUAUUGCGCACUCGUUCAUAACAUUCCUAUUGCUACUUCAUGGGCAGCUGGUUCUAUUUCUGAUUAAUCUGCCUAUGUUUAUAUGGCUCACGUUUGAAUAUCUGACCAUACCUCAAGGAAACUUAGGAGCUUACGAUCCAGCUGAGAUACACAAUCGAGGUAACCUAAAGAAACACCUGAGAGAUGUUAUGAUAUACAUUGGGUACUAUCUCAUAUUCUUUUUCAUAUACCUCUACUGUUUCAUCCUUGCUCUAUUGAAAGGGGACCCAUUACAAAGGCAUGCUGAUGAUGAAAUUAUAACUAAAAUGUAAAAAUGUCUGAUAAUUCAGUAGAUAGUAUUGAUUUGGGAGAAGCUCAGGACUUAAGUGACUCAGACAGCAGUUCUAACGAUGAUCCUGGCCCUGCACCAUGUGUGAAAGUGCCUCUACCAGAGAACAUAGCAGCUUAUGUUGAGAAUGUUGAAUUGAUGCGUGAUAUUGAACCAGUUGAUUGUAAUAGCAAUCUUAUUGAGAAUGUAAUGAAUAACUAUGUUAUUGUUAAGAAGAUUAUUAGUAGUCUACCAUGGCAAGAGAAGAUGCUAUGUAAACAUGUGUGCCAAACAUGGCAUUCAGCUGUGCUAGCCCUCCAAAAGGAACAGCUCAGUCCUGCAGACUUUGUGAUAGAUUUACAACUCGCUUCAAUAAAAAAUGGUGUGAAAUAUAAGGUGUCUGGUGUGUAUUACACUGAGCCGCUAGUCAUUUUCACAUUUACAAAUACCCCAGCUGGGUUUGGGAUUACUAACAGAUGCUUGGAGUUGGUACCUUCCCCAUGUGAUCCACCAUGUGAUAAAGAACAUUGUUUAAUUGAUUAUAUCCAUCGUGAUACUACUGCACCAAAAGAUUGUAUGCUAACAGUGAGGGCAGGCUACCUCUCAUACAUGCCACUGCCACAUUCAAUCACAGCUAAGCAUACAAUCACGCAACGCAUGUUUCGAAGAUCAAACGCAUUUAUUGGUGGAAUUUACAUACCAAAAAUUCCAGAUGUCCAAUUUCAUGUGAUCAAUAUAAAGACUAAUACAGACAUGCAGAAGGAAUACUUUGAUGUAAUUUCAAAUCUGGCUCAGGACCACAUCUUCAAGGGUAUUUUAAUUUAUGUGACUGAAAAGUUUCUUCUACAUUCAGAAAUUGGAGAAUGUGCUUACCUAAAUUAUUUUAAGGAAGUACAACCAGAUGUACCUUACGCACUUGGAGGCUGUAUUGUUGAAGACACUAUGUGCGAACUCAGUAACAUAGCACCACUGGUGGACUGCAGAAAUGAAGGAAAUUAUUUUGUCAGUGAAAAUCUCAUAACUAUAGGGAUGUUCACAGUGCCUAAAAAUACUAAUGCUGCAGAUCAAAACCACAAAAUAAACUUUGAUAUGUACUCUCUUAUACUGGAAUCAUCAGAUUGGACUAAAGCAAAAAUACAGAAGACUAUUAAUGAGUUCUCCAAAAAAGUCCCGCGUUUCGAGAACAGUGUGGUAUUAAAGCUGUCAUGCGUUGGACGCGAUCAGAAGCACGAAUUAGAAGAAGACUACUUCAGAGCCGAAUUCCCCACUAGCAGGCUGGUGGGUUGCUUCGGUAACGGGGAGUUGGGGGUCAACCACCCGGUACGACCCGCCGAUGACGCCCCGCCAUCGAAAAGACAUCGACAUGAUCCGGGACCCGAGUUUGGAUUGAUAUACUCAUAUUCUACAGUGUUUGUGUAUAUUGGAUGGGGGAAAAUCACGUCACCUGAAGGACCUAAUCAUUAAGAAAUUAAUGAGGAUAAUCAUUGCUUAGUUACUAAAGAUCUGUCUGAGAACUGUGCAAUACUGAACUUAAGUCGCCAAUUUAUUGGAGUGAUUUUAAUAUAAGGGAAUGCCUAGUAAAUAUGUAGGUACUGGGUAUUAUUGAUGUGAUAGUACUUAUGCUUCCGAAAAUUUAUUUAGUUGUAUUAUUAUUUUGUUGUCAUUGUGAUUAUAUCAUGAAUCUAUAGUGCUUAAACAUUAUGCUAUUGUAAAAAUGCGUACUAUCGCAUAAUGGUCUUAGUUCAAGUUUUUAGUAUGUAAAUUAAUGAAAUAUCAACCAGAAAUAAGUUUAGAUUUCUCAAGUGAAUAAAAUAAUUAUCUCUGUAAACGACACGCUUAGACACUCAAUAAAUUAGCUUAAUAUGAAUAAUAUCCAAAUAUUAAAAGAAAACAUUUCAUUAUGGAUGUAAUGAUAAGUAUGUAGGUACCAUGUGAUUUUCAGAUUACUAGCAUUUUGAGAAGUUAUCUAUUAUUACCUACACAUACACUUAAGAAUAUUCCUUUUAUUGAAUUUAAUUUGUAGACAUCGAUAAAAAGUACAAUAUAAGCUUUUCAAUCUCAAACUGCAUAAUUUUGUAAGAUUUUGAUAUGUAAGUAAGGUUUGCAGAAUAGGUUAAGUGAAUAAAAUUAUCUUUCUGGAUUUUUAUUAAUAUCAUGUGAAAAAUAUCUAUCAGUAAGAAUAAUAUUGUAGCAUGAAAUUAUUUAAGAACAUAACGUUUUAGAUAUUACAUAUUCUGACUUGUGCACGAUUAAUGAAUACAUUUUUAAAUA